AUUGAACGCUGGCGGCAGGCCUAACACAUGCAAGUCGAACGAGUGGCGGACGGGUGAGUAAUGUCUGGGAAACUGCCUGAUGGAGGGGGAUAACUACUGGAAACGGUAGCUAAUACCGCAUACCAUCAGAUGUGCCCAGAUGGGCUUAGCUAGUAGGUGGGGUAACGGCUCACCUAGGCGACGAUCCCUAGCUGGUCUGAGAGGCUGACCAGCCACACUGGAACUCAGACACUGUCCAAACUCCUACGGUAGGCAGCUGUGGGGAAUAUUGCACAAUGGGCGCAAGCUUGAUGCAGCCAUGCCGCGUGUAUGAAGAAGGCCGUCGGGUUGUAAAGUACUUUCAGCGGGGAGGCGUUACCCGCAGAAGAAUCACCGGCUAACUCCGUGCCAGCAGCCGCGGUAAUUC
rnacentral:rRNA from 1 species